ensembl:lncRNA
GACACAUUGUUUAUUUUCCUAUAUUCUUCCAUGCUGAUGACCGUGCAGCAGAGUUGGAGUGGACCUCUUGUUGAAGAACUUCUCCAGGCACUAUGAACCAUCUGACUAUCCUGUAUGUCUUACAAGGCCAUCCUGUUUAACACUGCACUGCGGACACUACAACCAGAGAGAUGCUGUCAUGAAAAGGCAACUGCUGGACACCUGGGACAGGCCAUCAAUUCCAAGUUGGCGGAACUGAGGUUUCAACUGAAGAAAAAGGAGACCUGUUAGAGUUUAGAGUUGUCUAAUAGAGAGGGUGAAGGAAGAACAUCCAAACCCUGCCCCUGCUUCCUUCAAGAUUUUUUAUGGAUUUAUAUAAUGGUGUUUUUUUGUAAAGAAAAGACAGUGGCAAAAUUAACAUGACACUACUUUGAUGUUUUGUUCUACAAAUUAAACCACACACACACUCCAAAAACACCAAUUUUGAUACAAUUUGCAUUUGCAAGAAAAAAAACAUCAAAGUAUUGUCAUGUUAAUUUAGCCACUGCCUUUACUUUACGAAAAAACAUCAUUUUAUAAAUCCAUAAAAAAUCUUGAAGAAAUCAGGGGCAGGGUUUGGAUGUUCUUCUUUCACCCUCUCUAUUAGACAACUCUAAAAUUGAUUUUUUUUUACACAGACUUUAAUUAAUAAAAAAAAAAAAAAACUUCUCUUCAAGAAUUACUUUUCAGGUUUUAGCAUCAUCCUUUAGUAUUCAUAAUAGCAAUUUCAGUAAAGUUGCUGGUUUGAUUUAUGUUUUAAUUGUGCAGUUUAUGUGCAUUCUGUUCA